rnacentral:sRNA from 1 species
UUUUUAAUAGCAUAAAGUUUUUGGCCAAAGCCCAUAAUCCUUUUAGAUCUGAAAUCAUAGCAUGUAAUAUUAGUUUUGUCCCAAACGUUAAACCGGUGACCUUUAAACUUUGCUUAAGAUCUUUUACCAAUUGAGCUAAUAAUACU